UUUAAAACAACAAAGAUAAUACAUUUAAUAUUGUUUCUCUUUUGGGCAAUGCGAGAUACAAUGUAAACAUGUACAAGAUACAAAAAAAAGAAAAAGGACUUGUCAAAAUGAAAGAGUAGAUACGAAAAUGUCCUGUUUUCAAAAGGGAUGCACAUGGGCAGAAUGACUUCCAUCAAAAAACGGAUUGUGUUCACUCUCAUUUUACAUCACCCCAGUCUGCUGCUGUUAAGUGUUAGGAUUUGAACACUGCCGUCUACGUCACCAUUUAUAUGACUAUGUGGGCGGAUGACUCAUCACCGGAUGAUUCAUUGACAUUUGCAGUGGUAGAAAAAAAAAUCUUCCUGGCUUCCUCAUGGCAUUUCUUUUGAAAACAAAGAGUUUGAAAGAAGUUCAAUUCAACACAAUUGGCAUUAACAACAAUGGUAAUAAAAAAUAAAGAAAAGAAUAGCACCUCCUUUGGUCCAACUCGAGGCCUGUAGUUGUUACUGAGUUUGUUAGUGUUGCUGACAUGCUGGUAACAGAUUGUUUUUGUCAGAAUUUACAGAUCAAGAGCUUGAUGGCGUCGACUUCCAAGUGUUUUUUUGGCACGCUGCUCUCCACAGCAGGGUGAUGACAAACUCUUCUCCAUAAAUGCAACAUGGGAGGUGAAAACAGACUCCACCCUCUCUUAAUCUACCUCAGCUGCAACAUCAAAAUCCGUCACUUCUGGCAGCUCACCUCCACCGCAAAUAAACACCCAUGCAGGAUGGCAGCAGCAGCAGCAGCAGCAGCAGCCGCAGUGCUCUUGAUUAGGGGGCUGUUAGUACUGGAAUAUCUUCAGUCAGGCUUAGGGUUAAUUAAGACACACUGUUGUGCUAAUUAGAAACGGGGAUUCAAACAGAGACAAAGAAAAAGUGCCACAGAGACACAGCUGCGUGCCUCGUUCCUCGACACAGCCUUUUUUUUUCUGGAGCUCAGAGACAACUCCCGCUGAUGCCCGCUGGCGCGUCAAACAACCACGAUUCUGUGGGGAAGUUUUCACAAUGACAUAAAUAAUCAGCAUAUUCUGAUUCACCGGCUUGUUUUUUUUUUUUCUUUUCUUUUUAGAAAAAGUCCUGUAACUUUUUUCUUUUCUUUCGUUCUUCACUCUCACACAGAAACAAAAACUAGAUGUUAAUUAAAAACCUACAAAAUCAUCCCUAUAAUACCUUCCGCCUUCUCCCACACACUUACUCAAACUUUCUUAUCAAACCUGCGCCUCAGUCGAUCAAACAACUGCCUUUAUUAACUCAGCAAUCACACUCCUCCAGAGCUGGGUGCUGUGUUGGCUUCUGAAUACCUUCUGGGAUUCCGCUCCAUUAUGAAUUAAAACUUUUUUUCAUUCGACAUGAACAAACCUUUCAAAUCAGGUGUUAUACUUUUUCAACAUUCAAUUACUUCUUAACGAAAUAAGUCAAAAAGAGGCAGAGAAUCCGACAUGUGAGGCCGCAUUUUCUUUGGUUUCAUUUGAUAAAACUUUUCAGACACCCAGCUUAACUCUCACACCCUCAGGGCUGCGUAAGAUCUUAAGACACUGACAGCAAAGGAGCUCAAAUCAGAUGCAGAAUCAGAUUUCAAGUUAUUCUAUGGAUGGAAAGCGAGACUGAGAGAAGCUGCUGAAGUGUCAACUUUGUCUCUCGCUGAAGCUGAAACUCAAAGCUUUGUUUGUAGCGAGGAGAUUUCAUGGCUCUCUUUUGGCAGCAGAGAGCUCAUUGGGUAUGUCGAAGGAGUUAGACAAUAUUAUUUUCAUAGUUGUCAUGGUGGAAGAGGCGCCCACUUGUCUUUCAGCUGCCUCUCAUCAAAGCAGUUCCUCUUCACCUCGCUCUCACCUUGUCUCCAAGAAUCCACUAUCUGAUCCAUCUCAUGUCUCCCUGCAUCCUCCUCUCACAAUCCCCCACCUUGACCUCCCAGUUCUUUUCUCUUGAGUGCACCUGCAAACAACCCAUCUCAUCAUGCAAAAACAAACAUGCACACAGGCACCCCCCCUCCAACACACUCACAAACACACCGGCAAACCCCCGCAAAGAUAUCUCAAUCAUUUCAGCAGGGAUGGACUGAGCCCGGCUGUGUCGAGGAAACGGAGAAAUUGAAAUCCGUGGCUGGGGGAAAAGAAGAGAUAGAAGUGGAGAGCAGAGAGGGAGAAGAAUAUGCUAUGGCAGCAGCUAGUGUUUGAGAUUACAGAGCUUAAGGUGCUUCACGCUUGAGAGGUGUCGUCCAUUUGUUAAAAUAAAAAAAGAGUGAGAAUAAAACAGGGUUCUGGUGUUGUGGAGCUGUCUCACUCGGCUGACCUUCAGGAAUAUGUCAGGAAACUCAUAUAUUUUCUCUGGCAUGAAUGACUCCUCAUCACUACUAAGUUUGUGUGUGUGUGUGUGUGUGUGUGUGUGUGUGUUGGCAUGUGUGCGCGUAGUGCUGCAGGUAGAAUGCAGAAAUAUUACAUCCACCAAUCCCAUUUCAAUUCAGCGGUGUGGAUGCACGCAGGUUUUAGAGAAGUGCUGCUGAGAUUGGCUGAACGAAUUGAAUGAGAAGCCUGUUGCUUACAGGAGAAACCUUACCAUUUUGGUAAUACGCUUCCUUGGGAGAGUCAGAUAAGAAGAUUGAUACCUCUGUCACGGCGGUUCUCCUAAUGGAACGGUACAGCCUGGAGGUAGUUGGCUCAGCUUAACAUAAAGACCGGAAACUAUAGGGAAACUGGUUUGGGGAGUGAGCCUGGCUCUUAAAAUACACCUACCAGCAACUCAAAACCUCACUAGUUGAUACUGUAAGGACUGGCCAAAAAAAAUACACCAAACAAAUCAAAUGUGACUGUAUCAGUAUUAGUUUCCCUUUCAUCAUAUAUGCAAUGCAACAGGAAAAUAACUCUGCUGCACUGAAGUGGGUUUGGGCUGUAGCAGCAGUCUUGUGCAUCUCCUAGUGAGACACAUUACCUCCACUUGGCUGCAUGACUGUGUUAAAGAAGUUAAAGAGAAAAUCAAGAUUUCAGUUUUUAAAAUACUCCCAACUCGACACUACAUCGAUGAUUAGCUCUCUAAAUACCAAGUUGCACAAAAGCUGUUGCUUUGUGGAGGUAAGGUGCUCGCUAAUGUUUUAGUCAGAUGCAGUCACUAGUGAAUAUCUUGUGUCUGAUAAGGAAAAAGCCAAUCUUGUUGAGUUUUAUAGGUUGUUGGUCACAAAUACGAAAUGCAAAAUUUUUAGGUCAAGGAAAGUUGGCAAGCUUCCCACAGUUGAUACUCUAAAAAAUAAAGUUGAACUAAAUGGCUUUAGCUUUAAGUUUGAAGAUCCCCUUUGAAAGUGUUUUAAACAUAGACUGUAUAUAGAAUGAAUGCCUUCUGCCGACCAGCACCCUCUGGUGACAGGCUGCAGAAUAAAUCCCGCGUCCUGCAGCAAUCCUUAUGGAGCUGAGGACAAACUUUAAAAAUUUAUUACACAGAAUAUAAUUUUUUUCCCCCCUGCUUGAGAUGUUGACAUGUAGUUACUGUAAGACUGGUUUGUGCUCAAGUCCACUUUUUUUCUGUAAAGAUCCAUUUUUAAAAGUUAUUAAGGGGUUCAUAUUUUCUAUGAUUGACACUUGAUACAACCUAUGGGCAAGCGUCAUCACAGUGACUCUCGGCGACUCUCCCACUGGUUUCGAGAAGUGGAGAAAAAUUGCAGAAAUAUCGAGAGCUUUUCGUCUUCAAAUCUGUAUACUGGUGGAAGGCAGAACCAAAUUGUCCAUAGUAUAUACAGUCUAUGGUUUUAAAUCCUUUCUUGGAAUACUACUUUGUCUAAUUUCAAACUCCCCCCCUGACCUUGACUAUGUGAGAGAGGUAUCAACUAUUCUUAUCGAACUCUUAGUAAUAAAGCAGAACAGGAUCUUUCUGAAGUAUCUGAGUUUUUCUUAAAGGUGGAGAUCAAAACAACAGUACGGUUUAUGGACACCAGAAGUGAGUAUGGCCUGUUCACUCAUCAUGUCCUCAGCACAAUGGCAUGUUCACCUGUACCACAUGGAUAAGGCCUGCCUGGGGCUCAGCAAAGAGAAAAAUAAAGGUAUUUCUAUUUUUGGCAUACAACCUGGAAGUUGAUGGAUUGAACAGAAAUGACCUGAAGGAGAACUCAUCUCCAGCUGUCUUGUUUACUGCUGAACCUCUCCUGUCCAUGUCGCUUUGCCAAAGGUUCCAAAUGUCUCCUCCGCCGUGGUGAUUGUUAAGGGAAAAGCCGGACUCAGUUUGACAACUGUGGAGUAAAUGUCAUGAGAGGCAUCUGCGUAAGUGCAGAGAGGACACACUCCAGAGGGAACAGGAAAUAAAACAGAAAGAAAAACAACAACACAAAAAACAAGAAACUAUCAAAAUUCCAUUCAGGCACAAACGUGACAGCUCAGAGCAGGGCCACCGAGGCCCCUGAUGAUGGGCCCAUGACUCUCCAUCUGUGAAGAAGACCCCAGGUGGCUGUAAUGUCAAUACAGAGUGGGUCAGGGGGUCUCUGCCUUGCCAUUUAAUCAUUCUGUCCACUGCUGAUCGGCAGCAGGAGAUGCACUCAUCCUCAAGUUAGUCAUUAUAAAAGUCCAUCACGUCAGGAGAUAAUGAGAUGUCACACUUCUGCUUUGGUCCAAUGAGUAUUCUGACGCUUACAGGGCCUUUCCCAUCUGCGCUUUUAAAAAUGAUACACUUAAAAUGAUGGUAAAAGCUCAUGACUGGCAGUUUGACUGGCAAUAUCUACUCCCCACAGAUGUAAUGGCAUUGUUCACGGUUCUCUCAGACCUUGUGUGACCUUGUUGAAGCUUGAUGGGUUUCUUAUCUAUUGCACAUUUCCUCGCGGUACAUUUCAGAAUUUGACAUAAAGGGAAAUAAGGAGAGAAAAAGCAAAGAUAGAUACUAGAAAGUUAAAUGUAUGCUUGUCACAAAACAAUUCCCUCGCUAAUUGAGCUGAGUGAAUUCAUCUUGAUCAAACAAAGCAAUAUGCAAUCAUAAUACGUGCUGGAGCAAAACUUUUAAAGUGAUUCAACACAUUUACAUAAUGCCUUCGUCCUGGUGGGAAAGGGUUUUUUUUUCUGCCUGAAAAGCAAGCAUUAACAUCUAAAUAUUUUGUUUUUGUUUUCAAUUGGUCCUUGUGCAAGUUUGUCAUUCAUAAAAUUGAUGAAAAAAAAAACUCAAAUACACAGCCAAAGAUAAUUCAGAUGAAGUCUGAAAUAUGAAUAAUUUGGUAAAAGUUCUAAUUAUUCAUAGCCUGUGUUAGGCUGUGAUGUGGUGUUUUGAAAGAGGGAAUAACAUGAUUGUCAAACCAUGAUAAGAUAUAAAAUUAUUCUUGAUAAAUACACAUAAAAUCAGGCAUUAUGUAAAGAACAAUAAAGAUGAAGGAAGCGCCCAUGAUUUGCUAAAGUUGCAGAACACAGCAUAGAAAAAAGGAACUUUUUUUUUCAAAUUGAAAAAAUAAUAAAUUAUUGCCCAAUAAAAAAGUGCUACAAAAAUAAGUUUUAGCUGCACUUUGAAUUUUUGUUUAAAAAAAGGAAAAAAAUCAUGAAAUUUCUGUACAGUCAUUGUUGAGACUCACUGUCCAGCAGUGCAUUUCUUAUUGCACUGAGGUAGAAUGGCUUGUAAGCCUCCUGAAAAAAAUCAAGUUGUAGUACCUUUUACUUCCCACUAGAGGUCUUUGUUUCUCCAAUUCUACCCAAACUUUAACAUGGUCACUGUCACUGACAGUGACACCUCUUAGAUAAGGUGAGUUAAAAAAAUGAAUGAUUAAAUAGUCACAAAAAUAUAAAAUAAAUAACAUGCUGGGUAUUGACUGCAUCUUUACAUUAAUGCACCUUAAAAACAGAUUUAAA